GACGUAGGGGGCGAGCGUUGUCCGGAUUUAUUGGGCGUAAAGAGCUCGUAGGCGGCUCAGAAAGUCGGGUGUGAAACCUCCAGGCUCAACCUGGAGACGCCACCUGAUACUGCUGUGGCUAGAGUCCGGUAGGGGAACACGGAAUUCCCGGUGUAGCGGUGAAAUGCUUAGAUAUCGGGAGGAACACCAGUGGCGAAGGCGGUGUUCUGGGCCGGAACUGACGCUGAGGAGCGAAAGCGUGGGUAGCAAACAGGGA
rnacentral:rRNA from 1 species